GACGAACGCUGGCGGCGUGCUUAACACAUGCAAGUCGAACGGACAGGCCAUGAUUUUGUGGGUUGCUCGAGUGGCGCACGCGUGUGUGACACGUGAGUAUACUGCACUUGACUUUGGGAUAACUUCUGGAAACUCGGGCUCAUACAGGAUAGGAGCUCCUGCUGCACGUUGGGGGUUGGUAAGUUCCGGCGGUUGUGGAUGGUAUGGCGGGUUAACGGCUAGUUGGGCGGGUAGUGGCUUACCAGGGCUUUGAAGGGUAGCCGGCCUUGGAGGGGGACCGGCGACAUGGGUACUGAGAUAGGGCCCAGACGGCUACGGGAGGCAGCAGGGGGGAAUAUGACACAAUGGGGGGAAGCCUGAUACAGCAACGUCGGGUGCGGAAAAACGUCCUUCGGGUGAUAAACCGCUUUCGCCGGUGACGUAGCGGGAGUGACGGUAAUGAAUAAAGAAGCACCGGCUAACUACGUG
rnacentral:rRNA from 1 species